GGGUGCAAUUUAUUGUGGGGUCCUUGGUGUGGCGUUUGCGGCGGCGCUUGUGGAUGGAGAGUGACCUCGUGGCGUCCUUCUGAAGGUCCGAGGACCCCACAUUCCGAGUUCUCUCACAGCCCGAAUCACCCACAACCCGAAUUACCCACAACCCGAAUUCUCUUCAACCCGGCUUACAAUAAACUGCUUCUGGAAGCGGGGCUACCGACGGCGAGACGACUGUUAAGUUUUUUUUUGUUAG
rnacentral:misc_RNA from 1 species